rnacentral:rRNA from 1 species
UUACCGCGGCUGAACUUUAAGCAUAUCUAUAAGCGGAGGAAAAGAAAAUAACAAUGAUACCCUUAGUAGCGGCGAGCGAAGUGGGUAAAGCUCAAGUUUAAAACCUUGUUUGUCCUAGACAAACCGGAUUGUAAACUAAGGACGUGCUAUCCAGGCUCUUUGGACCUUCAAGUCCUUUGGAAUAAGGCUUCACAGAGGGUGACAAUCCCGUAGAGGGUCUUGAAAGAGUCUAUUGCGAUGCAUGCUCCAAGAGUCAGGUUGUUUGGGAAUGCAGCCUAAAGUGGGAGGUAAAUCCCUCCUAAAGCUAAAUAUUGGCGAGAGACCGAUAGCAAACAAGUACCGUGAGGGAAAGUUGAAAAGGACUUUGAAAAGAGAGUCAAAAGUACGUGAAAUUGCUUAAAGGGAAGCGUUUGGAGCUAGUUUGGCUAGUCUGUUAUCAGCCUGAGCUUCGGCUUUGGUGUACUAUCAGGCUAUUUGCCGGCCAACUUUCAGGAUUGGAAGGAAAGCUUAGUGCUUUGGAGUCUAAAGAGACCUUUGCGGAAGCCUCUGGUGGAGCGUUGGUCAUGCCUUGGCCCUUCUGAACCUA